rnacentral:rRNA from 1 species
GUAAAGCACUUUCAGUGGGGAGAAAGCCUUGGGUCCAAUACCCUCGAGGAAGGACAUCACCCACAGAAGAAGCACCGGCUAACUCCGUGCCAGCAGCCGCGGUAAUAC